rnacentral:misc_RNA from 1 species
GAAAUGCGAUAAGUAAUGUGAAUUGCAGCAUUCAGUGAAUCAUCGAAUCUUUGAACGCAUCUUGCGCUCCUUGGUAUUCCUUGGAGCAUGCCUGUUUGAGUAUCAUGAAAUCUUCAAAGUAAAUCUUUUGUUAACUCAAUUGGUUUCUACUUUGGUAUUGGAGGUCUUUGCAGCUUCACACCUGCUCCUCUUUGUUCAUUAGCUGGAUCUCAGUGUUAUGCUUGGUUCCACUCGGCGUGAUAAGUUAUCUAUCGCUGAGGACACUGUAAAAGGUGGCCAAGGUAAAUGCAGAUGAACCGCUUCUAAUAGUCCAUUGACUUGGACAAUACUUUUAUGAUCUGAUCUCAAAUCAGGUAGGACUACCCGCUGAACUUAAGC